AUACGUAGGGGGCGAGCGUUGUCCGGAAUGAUUGGGCGUAAAGGGCGCGUAGGCGGCCCGGUAAGUCUGAAGUGAAAGUCCUGAUUUUAAGUUGGGAAUUGCUUUGGAUACUGUCGGGCUUGAGUGCAGGAGAGGUAAGUGGAAUUCCCAGUGUAGCGGUGAAAUGCGUAGAGAUUGGGAGGAACACCAGUGGCGAAGGCGACUUACUGGACUGUAACUGACGCUGAGGCGCGAAAGUGUGGGGAGCAAACAGGAUUAGAUACCCUGGUAGUCCACACUGUAAACGAUGAAUGCUAGGUGUAGGGGGUAUCGACCCCUUCUGUGCCGCAGUCAACACAAUAAGCAUUCCGCCUGGGGAGUACGGCCGCAAGGUUGAAACUCAAAUGAAUUGACGGGG
rnacentral:rRNA from 1 species